CCCGGCAGCUCAAGUGGUGGCCAUUCUUCUUUCGCCUCCCGCGUUCGUAGCCGGUUUGAUAAGUCUCUGGUGAAAUCCCGCAGCUUAACUGUGGGACUUGCUGGAGAUACUAUUAGACUUGAGGUCGGGAGAGGUUAGGGGUACUCCCAGGGUAGGGGUGAAAUCCUAUAAUCCUGGGAGGACCACCUGUGGCGAAGGCGCCUAACUGGAACGAACCUGACGGUGAGUAACGAAAGCCAGGGGCGCGAACCG
rnacentral:rRNA from 1 species